UAAACGGGCACAUCUGCAUUUCCCAGGCAGCCAUUUCGAAGCUAGGCUUAGGAUCAGAAAUACCCGAAUUGAAGUCUAGGUCCUGCGGCGUUUUGGCUUUGAACUGGUGUGGCCCCAGUUUCCCGAGCCUGCUGCGAGACCCUGCAAGACCCAACAGAGUGAGAGGGUGGACUGGAUGAACUUCAAGACCUGCACAAGACCUACGCUGGCUAGAGGGUUUGUAAUGAAACGCCCCUGAAAACUGGGCUCCUGGAAUAGUCUCCUCUGUGUGCAGCCAGUCAACACCAUGGAGCCUGCUGGAGGACAGCAUACAGUUUCAGAGGCUGAGUCCACUGUCAUGGACUUGGUGGCGUGCAGGCAGACGCGGUGCUGGAGAAGGAGCUGAGAGUCCCGCAUCUUGAUCCGCAGGCAGCCGGAAGUGAACUGUUCCACACUGAGCAUCUGUGAGACAUCAACAAGAACACACCUCCUAAUAAUGCUACUCCCUAUGGGGGCUGUUUCCUUUUAAACCACCACAGGAAUCAUGUCUAACUGCAUUUAUUUAUUUUUAAAUUUUUAUUUUGUGCGUGUGGGUGUUUUUCUGUAUGUCUAUGUACCGCUUGCACGAUGAUGUCUGCAGAGACCAGAGGACAGCCUUAGUUUGCCUGAAACUGGACUUAAAGACUGUUAGGAGCCACCAUACGGGUGCUGGGAAUCAAACCCAGGUCCUCCGGAUGAUCAGCGGGUGCUCUUAAUCACUGAGCCAUGGAGCCCCAGCCCAGUCUAAUGUCAAAGUCAUGCUUGCAGGAGCUUACAUUCUCCAGCUAGCUCCUAUGUCUGAAUGCCUCCAUCACCAUCUGAAGAGGCACCGCCGGCUGGGGACCAAGCACUGGACAUGAGGCUGUAUGGCAACGGCUCGCAUUCACAUUAUAAGACAUGGGCUGAUGGGCUGGCGCAGCACUUCUUCCUACAGCAGGAACUUCACUCUCUACUUCUGACUUGAACAACAGGCUUCCUGCUGCCUGGUGGGAAGGUGUGAUGCUCCUCCGGGCCCCUGGUUCUCUCAAAAAGGCUUGCGCUAGGGCCAGCCCCUGUCACCCGGAUACCAGGAGCUAGUGAAUCAUGGUUUGAAUGACAUCAGCGCACGCGGAGCCCCUGCCUUAGUUAGGGUUAAUAUUGCUGUGAUUAAACCCCACGACCCAAAGCAACUUGGGGAUGGAAGGGUUUACUUCGGCUGAGAGCUCACAUCACAGGCCAUCACUGGGGAAGUUGGGGCAGGAGCUCCAACAGGGCAAGAGCCUGUGUGCAGGAACAGAUGCAGAGGCCAUGGAGGAGCUCUGCUGUCUUACUCGAUCCUCACAGCCAGCUCAGCCUGCUUUUGAACGGCACCCAGGAUCACCAGUCCAGGGGUGGCGCCACCCUAGUGAGCCGGACUCUCCCACGUCAAUCAUCAAUCAAUAAAAUGUGCCACAGUCUUUCCCAAAGGCCACUCUGGUGGGAACACUUGCUCAGGUGAGGCUGAGAUGUGAGAAGGAGGUGCAGGCCUGGACGGAGAGAAGGGAGGAUCAAAGACUCUGCUGCUGCUUGCUUGUCCAGCUGUCUGCCAACAGCUGCAUGGAGAGAGCAAGAGCAUGGAGCUGUGGUCUUCGACCCUGGGGCCCUGCGUCGUCCCAGAAUCCCUGGCUGGGGUAGGAUGGGGGGACAAGGUCAGACAGAUGUAGCUCUUUCCCAGCUAGGGUACAACUCAUGUCGUUGGCACAGGACCGUGAUCCCAACUUGAUUUCUCUGCCUCUCUCUUGGUGCGGACGAGAAUGGAGACUGGAAGGCGAACGCGGCGGUGGUAGAGCCUUGAAACUGUUUGCAUUUUCCAGAUGUCUGGUGCAGAGGUGACCAUAUGAGUCUUCUGAAGUGGAGUGAAGCUAAUCCCAAGCUUCCCCUUCCACCCCUGUAUUUACUUUGGAUUUUAAUUCUUCGGAACUUUUACAUGAAUCUUAUCUAGCUGAUGUUGUUUAGUUUGGAAUAAUGUCAACACUGGGCUUUAUUUCCCUAGGGCAAGGAUGGAAAACAAUCUUCAUUUUGUGUGCCACCUUGGUUGAAGACAAUUGCUACCUUGGUUAAAGAUGGUGUCCACCUGUGGUUAAGGCCAGACUCAGCAUAGAUAGUGCUACAGUUGAUUAGCAAUGACUGCCGUUGGGACAUAAAAGUGAGGUUGUCCCUGUUGUCCUUUGCUUGGGGGAAUAAGUUAAAUUUCCUCAUUCCUAACUAUCCAGUUUGUAGUCAGUAGAUGUCUAAAAUAAAAGAUCUGUUCUCUUUUCCAGGGGUCCAGUAUCUAUUGUAUGGCCUUACUCCCUCCACAGUGGGCUAGCCUUCACUCAGUCUCUGAAGUGAACUUUUGAUAACAUGAACAUAAUCCUGAAACCUCCAGCUAUGCAUGUGGCUCUUCAAAACUCAGACCCCACCUUCUGCCUGCCUUUCAACAACCUUUUUCCUCACCAUGUCCUGAACUCAAAGUCCCUUCCUACCCGUUUGUCUCUGCAGGUGCUGUCUCUGGGGUCUGAAACAACUCUCCCAUUUUCCUCCCAUCUAAGACCCAGCUAGCAUGCCGCUCGCUUCCUUGGUGAGGUCUUUGUGACUGUCUCCAGGUCAUCUGCGCCCGUGGCAUUGGUUUCCUUGGAAUACUCUGUUUAUUUCUCCAUCAUUGCCCGUGGCCCUACAGACAGAAAACUAAAGUCACAGCGAGCCAUUUCUCAUUAUAUCAUCAGCCAGUAGAAGGCAGGGGUGGUUGGGGACACUGUCACCCAGCAGGGCCCCUGGCUCUCUGAAGGGGUCACUCAAGGUUUCUCCGAGUCCCUGUGGAGUUGAAUGGGCUUCAGGGAGCACUGUAAAGUGACUUGGGAAAGAAUAGCAUUGGAGUCUUAUUUUAUAGCCCAGACUCUCCUGGAACUUGCUGUGUAGCACAGGUUAGCUUCCAAUUUGUCAAUCCUCCUGCCCAUGUUUCCCAAGUGGUGGGGUUACAGGUGUGUGACACCACAUCGCAGUCUUAAGUGACUCGAACUUUGAUUCUCAUUUGCCCCAGCCUGCCAUGAAAGCGGUUGAUGUGCAGUGAUUGAGUGUACCUCAGAAACUUCAAAGAGGCAGGGUGAAACCGUGCUGCCUUCAGAGCCGAGCUGCCUUCUGGGAAGCCUGGGGUGGGGCUGGUGGACCUGAGCCAGGUGUUAGAGGGUGUUGUUGAGGUAUCAGGGGACCAGAGGCUAGAGAGGGCCUGCUCCUGGGAGAGGGCACAGGUGCUUUCACCGAACAAGUUGGACCUUGAAGGAAGAAUGGGGAGACGGUUCCAGUGGAGGAACAUUUGGUAUGGCCACACCUAGCUUUCAGGGAAGUAUUUCUUACAUAUUCCUCAGCCAAAUCCUCGGCUUGUGGGGACAAAUGGUGACACAUGAGGGCCUCACUGGGCUUCUUGUUUUCUUUCCCUUUAGUGGCUGCUGACUUGUGUGAUAACUGACAGUGUGCAGCGAUGGCUGAGCCUUAGGUUUUCCUGGAGUUGGCUCUGGCCCUGUCUAGCCCCAUCCUACCAGCUGAAAGUACAGGGAGGAGGCUAUGGUGAUCCAUUGUUUCUGUGGCUGUGGCAAAAUAUCUGAGAAUAGGAGGUUAUUAAGCUUGUGGUUCUGGAAGUUGGGAAGUUCGAGAGCAUGAUAAAAGAAUCUUUUAGCAUCUGUGGACCUUCUUUUAAAAUAAAACAUGUUUACUAA